CAUCGGCUGAAAAUCAGAAUAGAAAAUGUCAUGUCGGUGAGAGCUAUCACUUGAUUAGAGAACGGAUUUGUUAUCCAGACACUUAGCGUAUUUGCAGUCUCAGUGACUGAUAUUACACCAAGAUGGUAUAGUCUACAAUGUCUACACGACUACAAUAGCUUAGAAACAAGUCUUCUGAUCCUAAUAUAUGUCUAAUAGUUAUACCCAGUUGUCAAUAUCGGCGCGUGUGAAUUGGUUUUUGUAACCCCCUUUUUCAUCCUCCCUGUUUUCAACUGGCCGCGCGCCGGUAUCUCGUUUCUUUGCUACGGGUCAAUAGAAAUAUUCAUACAUAACUUUAGUUUGAUACUACUCGUAGUAUAAAAGGGGGCAGAAAUGUUGAUAAGAUUACCUCAAGGAUGAUUUUAAUAGGGAGGGUUGGAAUUGACUGACAGCCACUGACGUCUGCACUCGAUACACGUGCCGAGUAAUUCGUCGCGAGCAGAUUGUUACCUCCCAGCUUAAAUGACUCUAGAAUUUCAAACCCGAUCGACUUCUCUCUGAUAUUACAUGUAUUGGCUGUGUGUGUUGUUUUUCUUUUUUUUCUAUUCUGAAAAAAUUCCCAUUGGCUUAUACAGAUCAGAGAGAGAACGUAUUGUUUACAAAGUUUGUAGACAAAAUAUGUAAACAAUUUGGACGCAUGGAGUAUCGUGUUUUAAUCACCGAUAGCCCGUGGGGGGAUUUCUGGCCGAGGUGAACCACGAGGGGUUUGUAUUUUUUUCUUAUGAAUGGAAGAAAAUUUGUUGACGUGCGUUUAAAAAGGCCAGCCUGGGAGUUCGCGUAAAAUUGUGUGUCAUUUGAUGGACAUUGUCCGUCGUUUGUACGCCAAGAGGUCGUGAGAUUAAAAGAAAGUGGAAUCCA